ACAUUUUUACUGAUGACAUAUAGUUCAGUUGAUGCAUUCGUGAUAACUUAACUGUGAUAUUAAAAGGUCUUUCACCCCUAUCUGAAAAAAUGC
rnacentral:snoRNA from 1 species